UCCCUUUUCAAGUGUUUACUCAGUUGUAAACAAACUUCAGUCAGUCCUCGCACGCAGUUAUGCAAGUUUCAUAGAAAACGUGAAUGCCGUAGCUCCGUUCUGUUUUGUUAAAAAAUUGAAGCUAUGCGAUACGGACGGUCCAGGCUGCCGGAAAUAAUCCUCGUGACAGUAUUCGGUAUAGGAGGUGGAUUCUACGCUUUUCAGCCGGCAUUCAAGCAGUACCAGGUUGACCACGAGAGGACGUCAUCGGGGAAGCUUGAGGAAGGUCAAACGGCACCAGUUGGGAAAUAGAACCAGUGCAACCAGAAGCAAAGAAUCAAGAUGUCCACCCUAGUCAACAUGUACCGCGCCCUGCGAGGAUCUCCGGUAACGCUUCUGGGUGGCGCCAUUCUCAUCACCGGAUCCGUAAUGUUUGUCGUAAAGAGAGUUUACGAACCGUACAAGGCGCGGAACCGUAGAGCCGAAGCGGAGUACAUAGCGGACUAUCUGUUCAGGAAAGAGCAGGAGUCCCGGGGGGUGGAGUUCCACGACGACAAUGUAACAUUGAAGGAUUAGUGUUUAGGAUGGAUUUGGAUAAAGUAUGUUACAAAUAAAAUUUAGAAUCUAUUUCAUUUUAA